rnacentral:rRNA from 1 species
UACCAGCACCCCGAGUGGUCGGGACGUUUAUUGGGCCUAAAGCAUCCGUAGCCGGUUCUGCAAGUCUUCCGUUAAAUCCACCUGCUUAACAGAUGGGCCGCGGAAGAUACUAUAGAGCUAGGAGGCGGGAGAGGCAAGCGGUACUCGAUGGGUAGGGGUAAAAUCCGUUGAUCCAUUGAAGACCACCAGUGGCGAAGGCGGCUUGCCAGAACGCGCUCGACGGUGAGGGAUGAAAGCUGGGGGAGCAAACUGG